rnacentral:rRNA from 1 species
CGGUGGAUGAUGUGGUUAAUUCGAUGCAACGCGAAAACCUUACCCACCUUUGACAUGUCCGGAAUCCCGAAGAGAUUGGAGUGCUCGCAAGAGAGCCGGAACACAGGUGCUGCAUGGCUGUCGUCAGCUCGUGUCGUGAGAUGUUGGGUUAAGUCCCGCAACGAGCGCAACCCUUGUCAUUAGUUGCCAUCAUUUGGUUGGGCACUCUAAUGAGACUGCCGGUGACAAACCGGAGGAAGGUGGGGAUGACGUCAAGUCCUCAUGGCCCUUAUGGGUAGGGCUUCACACGUCAUACAAUGGUCGGUACAGAGGGUUGCCAACCCGCGAGGGGGAGCUAAUCCCACAAAGCCGAUCGUAGUCCGGAUCGCAGUCUGCAACUCGACUGCGUGAAGUCGGAAUCGCUAGUAAUCGUGGAUCAGCAUGUCACGGUGAAUACGUUCCCGGGUCUU